CCUACGGGAGGCAGCAGUGAGGAAUAUUGGUCAAUGGCCGUAAGGCUGAACCAGCCAAGUAGCGUGAGGGAAGACUGCCCUAUGGGUUGUAAACCUCUUUUAUGCGGGGGAAAAGGUGUCCACGUGUGGAUGUUUGCAGGUACCGCAUGAAUAAGGACCGUCUAAUUCCGUGCCAGCAGCCGCGGUAAUACGGAAGGUCCGGGCGUUUCCGGAGUUAUUGGGUUUAAAGGGAGCGUAGGCCGGUCGUUAAGCGUGCCGUGAAAUUUCGUGGCUCAACCAUGGGAGUGCGGCGCGAACUGGGGGCCUUGAGUGCGCGAGAGGCAGGCGGAAUUCGUGGUGUAGCGGUGAAAUGCUUAGAUAUCACGAAGAACCCCGAUGGCGAAGGCAGCCUGCCGGAGCGUUACUGACGCUGAGGCUCGAAAGCGCGGGGAGCGAACAGGAUUAGAUACCCUAGUAGUC
rnacentral:rRNA from 1 species